ensembl:lncRNA
CCCAGGUGAGCCCAGCAAGCAGCUGUCCAGGGAAUGGGGGUGACUACCUGCUCUGCAUCUCCCAGAGAGCAGCUGGGAGUGAGGCCCUGGGGCUCAGUUCAGCUCCAAGCAUGAAUCGCCAGGGAAGAUCAUCACUGAAGCUUGUGGACCAAGAAAUCAUGCCCGAGAGAAAGUAAUGGCGCCCACCCUGGGUCCCACACCCAGGAAGCAGCAGGUGGGCUACAGAAGGCUCUACUGGCCCCAGUCCAAGGAUAAGCUUCCCUCGGAGCUCCUGUUCUUUUGGAAAACUGCUGACCAUGAUCAGUGACAUAAGAGGGAAAGCCAUCAUGGAAGGAAAAGUCCCCAGACACAUAGCAGGAACCGGCUGGUUGGCGACUUCAUCUACACCACACAUUCCAGAGGUUUUUGGAUUCGUGAGGAAGGAGAAAUCUUGGUGCUGGACCCGAAAGGAUGUGCUAUGGACAAGAGAAUGUGGGUGAGGAGGCUCGACCUCUGAGGAGCAGCACUCAGCUAUCACCCAUGGCUGGCCCUUGAGUCCCCUAUUUCUCGCUUCUCCACCUGAAACCUCCUUUCUAAGGCAGACCUCAGAUACACUGUGGGAUCAAUUCCUGACUACUGCUAUAAAAUGAAUAUUGCAAUAAAGAAAGUAG